ACUGAGCCACCCAGGAGCCCCAAAAGCUACCCAGGAGCCCCUAAAGCAUCCCAGGAGCCCCUAAAGCAUCCCUUUUAUUUGAUUGAUUUGGUUGAUCCAGCUAAUGUGCCACUGCUCUUAGAAGGUCCUUCAGACACAUCUGCUUGUCCUGAAUCCAUCAGUACUCUGUCCCCUCACACCAUCCACAACCUGUUUUUGAAAAGACUUACUGAGAUGCUGUAGUUUUCUAGCACUACAAUGACUGUGAUUAGUCGUUGACAUAUGAUGAUUUAUUGCUGGAGGUUUCCUUAGAAAUUUACUUUGUGUGUUGGGGCUAAGAGAUGAGCGUUCGAGUUUCAGAUUUACAAUUCUUGUCCUGCACCACUUAACACAUCGAAACUACAUCUGGGAUCACCAGGCAACUUGACACCAUCCUGACUCAGUCUCCCAAGUAAAACUGAAAAUGUAUAGCAAUUAAGAGUGCUGAAGAAGGUACAUGGUCAGAUAAAUUCAUCUUGAUUAGGCCCUGGAGAGUUUUUAAAUAUAUAAACAGUUAAAAAUAGUUAAAGUUGUGGGCUAGUCAAAGCCAAGAACCCGGGAAAUUUUCUAACAAUUCCAUGAAGACAAAGAAGCCAGAAGACAAAACUCUAGACUAUAAAGCAUGCAAAGCAUGAGGAAUCUCCCUGAGGCAAACCUUGCACAUAGAAUGAAAAUUAGAGGGAAAUCACUUACAGUAGUUUGGCAACAUAUUCUAAGAAUGUGCUGGAGAAGUUAGGCUAAAUGUCCAGCCCAAUGACAGAUUUUGGAGAGGUGAGGUAGUAAGGGAGAGGAGAGAGGAUUGCCCAAAAAGUAUGAACAGUGAGUAUAGUAGUGAGAAAAAUGUCAGUAUCAACUUGCACUCACAUGAAUUUUCUCAACUCCAUUAACCAUGCCAUUAAAAUCAUCUUGGAAUGUUGUUAAAAUGGGGGCAUUUUUAGGUAACAGUGGCUUGGUAAAUACAGGAUUCUUUUCUCUUUGAAGUCACCCAUUUUUCAAAGCCAUUGCAUAGAUUUCUAUUGACACUUCUAGGUCCCUGGGUUUUUUUGAUAUGUGUGUGUGCACGCUCGUGUGUUAAUUUUAAAACUCCCAUUA